rnacentral:rRNA from 1 species
AGCAGCCGCGGUAAUUCCAGCUCCAAUAGCGUAUAUUAAAGUUGUUGCAGUUAAAAAGCUCGUAGUUGAAUUUCGGGAUUGACGUGACGGUCAUGCCUUAAGGGGUAUGAACUGUUACUGUUGAUUUCUCACCUUCUGGAGAAACUUGAUGUCCUUUAUUGGGUGUCUUGCGGAUCCAGGACCUUUACCUUGAAAAAAUUAGAGUGUUUAAAGCAGGCAUUUUUGCUCGAAUACAUUAGCAUGGAAUAAUAGAAUAGGACGGCAUGGUUCUAUUUUGUUGGUUUCUAGGAUCACCGUAAUGAUUAAUAGGGAUAGUUGGGGGCAUUAGUAUUCAAUUGUCAGAGGUGAAAUUCUUGGAUUUAUUGAAGACUAACUACUGCGAAAGCAUUUGCCAAGGAUGUUUUC